rnacentral:rRNA from 1 species
UAGCUAUGUACGGAAGGGAUAAGCGCUGAAAGCAUCUAAGCGUGAAGCCCCCCUCAAGAUGAGAUUUCCCAGUAUGUAAGACCCCUUGAAGACGACGAGGUAGAUAGGUUGGGGGUGGAAGUGCAGUAAUGCAUGGAGCUGACCAAUACUAAUCGGUCGAGGGCUUAUCCUAAA